UACGUAGGGUGCGAGCGUUAAUCGGAAUUACUGGGCGUAAAGCGUGCGCAGGCGGUUUUGUAAGACAGAGGUGAAAUCCCCGGGCUUAACCUGGGAACUGCCCUUGUGACUGCAAGGCUUGAGUGCGGCAGAGGGGGAUGGAAUUCCGCGUGUAGCAGUGAAAUGCGUAGAUAUGCGGAGGAACACCGAUGGCGAAGGCAAUCCCCUGGGCCUGCACUGACGCUCAUGCACGAAAGCGUGGGGAGCAAACAGG
rnacentral:rRNA from 1 species